CCUACGGGGAAGCAGCAGUGGGGAAUAUUGCACAAUGGGGGAAACCCUGAUGCAGCGACGCCGCGUGAGUGAAGAAGUAAUUCGUUAUGUAAAGCUCUAUCAUCAGGGAAGAAAAUGACGGUACCUGAGUCAGACGCCCCGGCUAACUACGUGCCAGCAGCCGCGGUAAUACGUAGGGGGCAAGCGUUAUCCGGAUUUACUGGGUGUAAAGGGAGCGUAGACGGCAGUGCAAGUCUGGAGUGAAAGGCGGGGGCUCAACCCCCGGACUGCUCUGGAAACUGUACGGCUGGAGUGCAGGAGAGGUAAGUGGAAUUCCUAGUGUAGCGGUGAAAUGCGUAGAUAUUAGGAGGAACACCAGUGGCGAAGGCGGCUUACUGGACUGUAACUGACGUUGAGGCUCGAAAGCGUGGGGAGCAAACAGGAUUAGAUACCCUAGUAGUC
rnacentral:rRNA from 1 species